AUUGAACGCUGGCGGCAUGCUUUACACAUGCAAGUCGAACGGUAACACGCCGCACGGUGUUGACGCGUGGCGCAAGCGUGAGUGUUAUGUAGGAGCGUGUCCCCUCGUGGGGGGUAUCUACUGGCGAGAGUAGGAAUUAUCCCAUACGCUAUCUGGAUGUGAACGGGGGGGAGCAAAAGGUCGCGCGCUUUUGGCGGGCCCGAUGUCGGAUUAGCUAGUUGGUGGGGUAAAGGCUUACCAAGGCAACUAUCCGUAGCUGGUCUGAGAGGACGACCAGCCACACUGGGACUGAGACACGGCCCAGACUCCUACGGGAGGCAGCAGUGGGGAAUUUUGGACAAUGGGCGCAAGCCUGAUCCAGCAAUGCCGCGUGCGGGAAGAAGGCCUUCGGGUUGUAAACCGCUUUUGUUCGGGAAGAAACGGCGCGGGUUAAUACCCGGGGGUAAUGACGGUACCGGAAGAAUAAGCACCGGCUAACUACGUG
rnacentral:rRNA from 1 species